rnacentral:rRNA from 1 species
GACGGAGGAUGCAAGCGUUAUCCGGAAUGAUUGGGCGUAAAGCGUCCGCAGGUGGCAGUUCAAGUCUGCUGUCAAAGACCGGGCUUAACUUCGGAAAGGCAGUGGAAACUGAACAGCUAGAGUAUGGUAGGGGCAGAGGGAAUUCCUGGUGGUAGCGGUGAAAUGCGUAGAGAUCAGGAAGAACAUCGGUGGCGAAGGCGCUCUGCUGGACCAUAACUGACACUCAGGGACGAAA